rnacentral:rRNA from 1 species
AGAGAGGAGCUUGCUCUUCUUGGAUGAGUUGCGAACGGGUGAGUAACGCGUAGGUAACCUGCCUUGUAGCGGGGGAUAACUAUUGGAAACGAUAGCUAAUACCGCAUAACAAUGGAUGACACAUGUCAUUUAUUUGAAAGGGGCAAUUGCUCCACUACAAGAUGGACCUGCGUUGUAUUAGCUAGUAGGUGAGGUAACGGCUCACCUAGGCGACGAUACAUAGCCGACCUGAGAGGGUGAUCGGCCACACUGGGACUGAGACACGGCCCAGACUCCUACGGGAGGCAGCAGUAGGGAAUCUUCGGCAAUGGGGGCAACCCUGACCGAGCAACGCCGCGUGAGUGAAGAAGGUUUUCGGAUCGUAAAGCUCUGUUGUAAGUCAAGAACGAGUGUGAGAGUGGAAAGUUCACACUGUGACGGUAGCUUACCAGAAAGGGACGGCUAACUACGUGCCAGCAGCCGCGGUAAUACGUAGGUCCCGAGCGUUGUCCGGAUUUAUUGGGCGUAAAGCGAGCGCAGGCGGUUUGAUAAGUCUGAAGUUAAAGGCUGUGGCUCAACCAUAGUUCGCUUUGGAAACUGUCAAACUUGAGUGCAGAAGGGGAGAGUGGAAUUCCAUGUGUAGCGGUGAAAUGCGUAGAUAUAUGGAGGAACACCGGUGGCGAAAGCGGCUCUCUGGUCUGUAACUGACGCUGAGGCUCGAAAGCGUGGGGAGCGAACAGGAUUAGAUACCCUGGUAGUCCACGCCGUAAACGAUGAGUGCUAGGUGUUGGAUCCUUUCCGGGAUUCAGUGCCGCAGCUAACGCAUUAAGCACUCCGCCUGGGGAGUACGACCGCAAGGUUGAAACUCAAAGGAAUUGACGGGGGCCCGCACAAGCGGUGGAGCAUGUGGUUUAAUUCGAAGCAACGCGAAGAACCUUACCAGGUCUUGACAUCCCGAUGCUAUUUCUAGAGAUAGAAAGUUACUUCGGUACAUCGGUGACAGGUGGUGCAUGGUUGUCGUCAGCUCGUGUCGUGAGAUGUUGGGUUAAGUCCCGCAACGAGCGCAACCCCUAUUGUUAGUUGCCAUCAUUCAGUUGGGCACUCUAGCGAGACUGCCGGUAAUAAACCGGAGGAAGGUGGGGAUGACGUCAAAUCAUCAUGCCCCUUAUGACCUGGGCUACACACGUGCUACAAUGGUUGGUACAACGAGUUGCGAGUCGGUGACGGCAAGCUAAUCUCUUAAAGCCAAUCUCAGUUCGGAUUGUAGGCUGCAACUCGCCUACAUGAAGUCGGAAUCGCUAGUAAUCGCGGAUCAGCACGCCGCGGUGAAUACGUUCCCGGGCCUUGUACACACCGCCCGUCACACCACGAGAGUUUGUAACACCCGAAGUCGGUGAGG